UACAGAGGGUGCAAGCGUUGUUCGGAAUUACUGGGCGUAAAGGGCUCGUAGGCGGCCAACUAAGUCAGACGUGAAAUCCCUCAGCUUAACUGGGGAACUGCGUCUGAUACUGGAUGGCUUGGAUCCGGAAGAGGGAUGCGGAAUUCCAGGUGUAGCGGUGAAAUGCGUAGAUAUCUGGAGGAACACCGGUGGCGAAGGCGGCAUCCUGGGCCGGUAUUGACGCUGAGGAGCGAAAGCCAGGGGAGCAAACGGG
rnacentral:rRNA from 1 species